GAUUAACGCUAGCGGCAGGCCUAAUACAUGCAAGUUGAACGGGAUUGAUUGUAGCAAUACGGUCAUGAGAGUAGCGCACGGGUGCGUAACACGUAUGCAACCUACCUAUAACUGGGGAAUAGCCUCCCGAAAGGGAGAUUAAUACCGCAUAAUAUUAUUGAAUGGCAUCAUUUGAUAAUUAAAUCUCAGGGGGUUAUAGAUGGGCAUGCGUCCGAUUAGCUAGUUGGUGAGGUAAUGGCUCACCAAGGCUACGAUCGGUAGGGGGUCUGAGAGGAUGAUCCCCCACACUGGUACUGAGACACGGACCAGACUCCUACGGGAGGCAGCAGUAAGGAAUAUUGGACAAUGGGCGCAAGCCUGAUCCAGCCAUGCCGCGUGAAGGAUGAAGGCCCUAUGGGUCGUAAACUUCUUUUAAACGGGACGAAACCCCUCGACGUGUCGAGGGCUGACGGUACCGUAAGAAUAAGGGUCGGCUAACUUCGUGCCAGCAGCCGCAGUAA
rnacentral:rRNA from 1 species